ACGAACGCUGGCGGCGUGCCUAACACAUGCAAGUCGAACGGAGAUACAGGGGCUUGCCCCUGUAUCUUAGUGGCGGACGGGCGAGUAACGCGUGAGGAACCUGCCCUUCAGUGGGGAAUAACGGCUGGAAACGGUCGCUAAUACCGCAUGACACAUUGGUACCGCAUGAUACUGAUGUCAAAGGAGCAAUCCGCUGAAGGAUGGCCUUGCGUCCGAUUAGCUAGUUGGUGGGGUAACGGCCUACCAAGGCGACGAUCGGUAGCCGAACUGAGAGGUUGAUCGGCCGCAUUGGGACUGAGACACGGCCCAGACUCCUACGGGAGGCAGCAGUGGGGGAUAUUGGUCAAUGGGGGAAACCCUGAACCAGCAACGCCGCGUGAGGGAAGACGGCCUUCGGGUUGUAAACCUAAGUGAUCAGGGACGAAGGAAGUGACGGUACCUGAAAAGCAAGCUCCGGCUAACUACGUGCCAGCAGCCGCGGUAAUACGUAGGGAGCGAGCGUUGUCCGGAUUUACUGGGUGUAAAGGGUGCGUAGGCGGGAAAGCAAGUCAGGUGUGAAAUACCGGGGCUCAACUCCGGGGCUGCGCUUGAAACUGUUUUUCUUGAGUGAAGUAGAGGCAGGCGGAAUUCCUAGUGUAGCGGUGGAAUGCGUAGAUAUUAGGAGGAACACCAGUGGCGAAGGCGGCCUGCUGGGCUUUAACUGACGCUGAGGCACGAAAGCAUGGGGAGCAAACAGGAUUAGAUACCCUGGUAGUCCAUGCUGUAAACGAUGAUUGCUAGGUGUGGGGGGACUGACCCCUUCCGUGCCGGAGUAAACACAAUAAGCAAUCCACCUGGGGAGUACGACCGCAAGGUUGAAACUCAAAGGAAUUGACGGGGGCCCGCACAAGCAGUGGAGUAUGUGGUUUAAUUCGACGCAACGCGAAGAACCUUACCAGGUCUUGACAUCGAUCUAAAAGGGAUGGAGACAUCCUCAUAGCUAUAGAGAAGACAGGUGGUGCAUGGUUGUCGUCAGCUCGUGUCGUGAGAUGUUGGGUUAAGUCCCGCAACGAGCGCAACCCUUGUUGUUAGUUGCUACGGAAGAGCACUCUAACGAGACUGCCGUUGACAAAACGGAGGAAGGUGGGGACGACGUCAAAUCAUCAUGCCCUUUAUGACCUGGGCUUCACACGUACUACAAUGGCCGUAAACAGAGGGAAGCAAGACCGCGAGGUGGAGCAAAUCCCUAAAAACGGUCCCAGUUCAGAUUGCAGGCUGCAACCCGCCUGCAUGAAGAUGGAAUUGCUAGUAAUCGCGGAUCAGCAUGCCGCGGUGAAUACGUUCCCGGGCCUUGUACACACCGCCCGUCACACCAUGGGAGCCGGUAAUACCCGAAGUCAGUAGCCUAACCGCAAGGGGGGCGCUGCCGAAGGUAGGAUUGGCGACUGGGGUG
rnacentral:rRNA from 1 species